UCCGAGUUGACCCCGGCAGUCUCCUAUGAGUCCCCGCCAUCACGCGCUGGCAACAUAGAACGAGGGUUGCGCUCGUUGCGGGACUUAACCCAACAUCUCACGACACGAGCUGACGACAACCAUGCACCACCUGUAUACCGACCUUGCGGGGCACCCAUCUCUGGAUGUUUCCGGUAUAUGUCAAGCCGUGGUAAGGUUCUUCGCGUUGCAUCGAAUUAAUCCGCAUGCUCCGCCGCUUGUGCGGGUCCCCGUCAAUUUCUUUGAGUUUUAGCCUUGCGGCCGUACUCCCCAGGCGGGGUGCUUAAUGCGUUAGCUGCGGCACGAACGGCGUGGAAUGUCCCCCACACCUAGUGCCCAACGUUUACGGCAUGGACUAC
rnacentral:misc_RNA from 1 species